GAUGAACGCUAGCGGCAGGCUUAAUACAUGCAAGUCGAGGGGCAGCAUAAGUAGCAAUACUUGAUGGCGACCGGCAAACGGGUGCGGAACACGUACGCAACCUUCCUUUAAGUGGGGAAUAGCCCGGGGAAACCCGGAUUAAUACCCCGUAAUAUUAUGAUGUGGCAUCACUUUAUAAUUAUAGAUUUAUCGCUUAAAGAUGGGCGUGCGCCUGAUUAGGUAGUUGGCGGGGUAACGGCCCACCAAGCCUGCGAUCAGUAACUGGUGUGAGAGCACGACCAGUCACACGGGCACUGAGACACGGGCCCGACUCCUACGGGAGGCAGCAGUAAGGAAUAUUGGUCAAUGGACGCAAGUCUGAACCAGCCAUGCCGCGUGGAGGAUGAAGGUCCU
rnacentral:rRNA from 1 species